CAGCGGAACUGAGCAGCACAUGCUCGGAGCUUUCAUGCCAUCGACUUCUGAUUAUUUCUGCUUUCUUGAGACGCAGCCACCAGCAUGGGACCAAAUGCAGCCCUGGAGAGAAGCCGUCUGUACAGCGACACUCACAGACCCUCCCCUGGAUACAGGCAGCCCCGCGUGUGCGGCGGAGCCUGUGUGAAAUGGACAGACGCUCAGGUUUAUUGUAGAAAAUCUGGAAGAUACCAAACCGUAAAAACUGGAAUUCUAUCAACAAGCGAUAACCACUGUUAACAUUCAGCUCUUGGGCCAGCCCCGUGGCUUAGCAGUUAAGUGCACGCGCUCCGCUGCUGGCGGCCCGGGUUCGGAUUCCCGGCGCGCACCGACGCAUCGCUUCUCCGGCCAUGCUGAGGCCGAGUCCCACAUACAGCAGCUAGAAGUAUGUGCAGCUAUGACAUACAACUAUCUAUUGGGGUUUUGGGGGAAAAAACAAGUAAAAUUUAAAAAAAUAAAAAAUAAAAGCUCUUAAUAUAUUUGA